rnacentral:rRNA from 1 species
UACGAAGGGGGCUAGCGUUGCUCGGAUUGACUGGGCGUAAAGGGCGCGUAGGCGGUUCGUACAGUCAGACGUGAAAAUUCCUGGGCUCAACCUGGGGGCUGCGUUUGAUACGUGCGGACUUGAGUGCGGAAGAGGGUCGUGGAAUUCCCAGUGUAGAGGUGAAAUUCGUAGAUAUUGGGAAGAACACCGGUGGCGAAGGCGGCGACCUGGUCCGAUACUGACGCUGAGGCGCGAAAGCGUGGGGAGCAAACAGG